rnacentral:rRNA from 1 species
UACGAAGGGGGCUAGCGUUGCUCGGAAUGACUGGGCGUAAAGGGCGCGUAGGCGGAUGGCACAGUCAGAUGUGAAAUUCCCGGGCUUAACCUGGGGGCUGCAUUUGAUACGUGUUGUCUGGAGUGAGGAAGAGGGUCGUGGAAUUCCCAGUGUAGAGGUGAAAUUCGUAGAUAUUGGGAAGAACACCGGUGGCGAAGGCGGCGACCUGGUCCUUGACUGACGCUGAGGCGCGAAAGCGUGGGAGCAAACAGG